rnacentral:tRNA from 1 species
GGAGAGGUCGCAUAGUGGUCUAGUGCGAUAGUCUUGAAAACUAUUGAGGACGCAAGUUCUCCGUGGGUUCGAAUCCCACCCUCUCCGCAA